ACGGAAGGCAGCAGUGGGGAAUAUUGCACAAUGGGGGAAACCCUGAUGCAGCGACGCCGCGUGAGUGAAGAAGUAUUUCGGUAUGUAAAGCUCUAUCAGCAGGAAAGAAAAUGACGGUACCUGACUAAGAAGCCCCGGCUAACUACGUGCCAGCAGCCGCGGUAAUACGUAGGGGGCAAGCGUUAUCCGGAUUUACUGGGUGUAAAGGGAGCGUAGACGGCUUUGCAAGUCUGAAGUGAAAGCCCGGGGCUCAACCCCGGAACUGCUUUGGAAACUGUAGAGCUAGAGUGCAGGAGAGGUAAGUGGAAUUCCUAGUGUAGCGGUGAAAUGCGUAGAUAUUAGGAGGAACACCAGUGGCGAAGGCGGCUUACUGGACUGUAACUGACGUUGAGGCUCGAAGGCGUGGGGGGCAAACAGGAUUAGAUACCCUGGUA
rnacentral:rRNA from 1 species